rnacentral:rRNA from 1 species
GGUUUGAUCCUGGCUCGAUUGAACGCUGGCGGGAUGCUUUACACAUGCAAGUCGAACGGCACGGACUUCGGUCUGGUGGCGAGGCGGCGAACGGUGAGUAAUGUAUCGGAACGUGCCUAGUAGCGGGGGAUAACUACGCGAAAGCGUAGCUAAUACUGCACAUUGCCCUUUCGGGGGAAAGCGGGGACCUUUCGGGCUCGCACUAUUAGAGCGGCCGAUAUCGGAUUAGCUAGUUGGUGGGUAAACGGCUCGCAAUUGCUGCGACGAUCCGUAGCUGGUUUGAGAGGACGACCAGCCGCCACUGGACCGAGACACGGCCCAGACUCCUACGGGAGGCAGCAGCGGGGGAAUUCUUGGACAAUGGGGGAAACCCGAUCCAGCCAUCCCGCGUGCGAUGAAGGCCUUCGGGUUGUAAAGCAAUUUUGGCAGGAGAAGAAAUGGCAUCGAUAAUACCCCGUGCAACUGACGGUACCUGCAGAAUAAGUACCGGCUAACUACGUGCCAGCAGCCGCGGUAAUACGUAGGGUGCAAGCGUUAAUCGGAAUUACUGGCGUAAAGCGCAGGCGGUUCGGAAAGAAAGAUGUGGAAACCGAGCUUAACUUCUUUGAACUGCAUUUUUAACUACCGAACUAGAGUAUGUCAGAGGGAGGUGGAAUUCCGCGUGUAGCAGUGAAAUGCGUAGAUAUGCGGAGGAACACCACCGAUGGUGGAAGGCAGGCCUCCAGAUAACACUGGAUGCCCAUAAUGAAAGCGUGGGAGCAAAACAGGAUUAGAUACCCUGGUAGUCCACGCCCUAAAUCAUAUCAACUAGCUGCUGGGGCCUUCGGGCCUUGGUAGCGCAGCUAAUGCGUGAAGUUGACCGCCUGGGAGUACGGUCGCAAGAUUAAAACUCAAAGGGACGACGGGACUCGCACAAGCGGUGGAUAUGGUGGAUUAAUUGAUGCAACGCGAAAAACCUUACCUACCUGACAUGUCUGGAAUCGAAGAUUUGGGAGUUUCGUGAGAACUGGAACACAGGUGCUGCAUGGCUAGGUCGUCAGCUCGUGUCGUGAGAUGUUAAGCUAAGUCCCGCAACGAGCAGCAACCUUGUCAUUAGUUGCUACGAAAGGGCACCCCCACGAGACUGCCGGUGACAAACCGGAGGAAGGUGGGGAUGACGUCAAGUCCUCAUGGCCCUUAUGCAGUAGGGCUACACGUCAAGUACAAUGGUCGGGACAGAGGGUCGCCAACCCGAGGGAGCCAAUCCCAGAAACCCGAUCGUAGUCCGGAUCGCAGUCUGCAACUCGACUGCGUGAAGUCGGAAUCGCUAGUAAUCGCGGAUCAGCAUGUCGCGGUGAACAUCUCCUGGCCUGUACACACUGCCCGUCACGGGAGUGGGUUUUACCAGAAGUAGUUAGCCUAACCGUAAGGAGGGCGAUUACCACGGUAGGACUCACAGACUGGGUGAAGCUGUAACAAGGUAG